GACGUAGGGGACGAGCGUUGUCCGGAUUCAUUGGGCGUAAAGGGCGCGUAGGCGGCUUGUUAAGUCGGCUGUGAAAGCCCGGGGCUCAACCCCGGAGGGUCAGCCGAUACUGGCAGGCUAGAGUACGGAAGAGGUAGCUGGAAUUCCUGGUGUAGCGGUGAAAUGCGCAGAUAUCAGGAGGAACACCGGUGGCGAAGGCGGGUCUCUGGGCCGAUACUGACGCUGAGGAGCGAAAGCGUGGGGAGCGAACAGG
rnacentral:rRNA from 1 species